ncrna:unclassified sequences FuFi-1 RNA
UACUAAGGGCAUCUUUUAUUGGGCUGACCUAACAGCCUUAAGUGAAGCGGUUCAUCAUAGAACUAAUUGCUGAUAACAAUUAGGUUGCUUUAUAUUGUUUGAAGGGGACUUCAACAGUUACCUAGAUUCUAUAGUUAAGGCUUCCGCAAGAAAUCUUAUGUGCGCUGUCUAUUUAACUGUCAAUAUAAUGUAAAUGCAGUGAGCUUUUGGUAAACAAAUAGGGUAAAUUACUUCCGUAUUAUCAGUGCGGAAGUUUUUU